rnacentral:rRNA from 1 species
UACAGAGGUCUCAACCGUUGUUCGGAUUCAUUGGGCGUAAAGCGCGUGUAGGCGGCUCGGUAAGUCCGCUCUGAAAGUCCAGGGCUCAACCUGGGAUGCGGGUGGAUACUGCCGGGCUCGAGUCCGGAAGAGGCGAGUGGAAUUCCCGGUGUAGCGGUGAAAUGCGCAGAUAUCGGGAGGAACACCAAUGGCGAAGGCAGCUCGCUGGGACGUGACUGACGCUGAGACGCGAAAGCGUGGGGAGCGAACAGG